rnacentral:lncRNA from 1 species
UUACAGUUCUAGAGGCUGAUAAGUCCAAGCAUAUGGUGCCAGCAUCUGGUGAGGCCUUCUUGCUGUGUAAUCUCAUGGCAGAAGAGUGGAAGGACAAGUGAGCACAUGCAAAAGGGAUUGUACAAGGUGCUGAGCUGGCUUUAUUACAACUUGCUCUUGAGAUAACUACCAACUCUGAUGAUAGGACCUUAAUCUAUUCAUAAGGGUGCUGCCUAUGAUUUGAUUACCUCUUAAAGGCCCCACAUCUUAAUACUUUUACAAUGGCAAUUAAAUGUCAACAUGAGUUUCAGUGGAGACAAACAUUCAAACCAUAGCAAAGGCUUAGAAUAGAAUCCUAGGAAUUCCAAAAUUGCCAGACAGAGAAAAAGAUGACAGCUACAGAAUCUGUGAAAUAUGUUCAUCAAAGUAAAAAGAAAUCCAGACAGUCAGUGACCUGUGAGCCAAUGGAAGAGAGAGACCACACAGGUGAGUGCCAAUGAGAGAUCAAAUGAGAUAUAGGUCAUAGUUACUUGUUCUAUUAAAUGACAUAGAAGAUAAAGGUGGCCUUAGCAAAAAUAGAAUUUCAAACUGUUAGGGAGGAAGCCAGACUGGAAUUAGAGAGGUAGCUGAAGAAUGACAGGGAAUGAGUAGAGAGGAACAGAGAGUAUAGGUUCUUUUGAAGAGCCAGGAAAGUUGGCAUGAAGAAGCUCAAUAUCUCUUUCUGUCUCUCAUUCUCACUCUGUGUGUGUAUGUGUGUGUGUGUGUGUGUGUGGUGGGGAGAAGGAAUAAGAGACAGAAAUCUUGAAACAUUAAAAUUAUCAUUAAAUGAUGGUGAGAAGGAAAGAAAUAUAAAAGUUAUGGUAAGAGAAAAAUAUGAGUAAUAUUUAACUCUUUCCAGAAAGGAUCCUCAAACCAAAGAACAUCCAUUUAGGCACUAUGGCUAGUGUUCAAACACACAAUAACCUCAAAAUAACACUUGCUGUCAAGCAGAAUUUGUAAAACUGAGCUGAAUAAUCAUGGAUUCAAAGGAAUUUAUUUCCUGACAUAUCAAAAUGGCCUUGUUUAAAUCAUGUAAUCGAGUCUAUAAUAAAAAUUUAAUCUUAAGGUUUUAUAGCUCAAAAAAAUCUGUAUUUUAAAUUUUUAGGCAGUUUCUUCUAAGGUGAACAAUGGUAUUUACCUUUUGGGUAGAACAUGACUUAUUUUUGGAAGUAUUGCUUGAGUAAUAUUAAGAAUUAGGAAAUAUCUACUUGCUGAUAUGAGAGUAUACAAAAAUGUUUGCUUGACAAGCUUCCGAGGGCUCUGUAAGAUUGUGGUGAUAUCAGAUAAUGCCCUUCCCAAAUGUGUCUGCUCAUCAAUGAAUUUACACACAUGCAUAACAGCUUCCUGGGAGCAGAAUGGCUUGUACCUGGUUCUGUCUCUGAGUGUUUCAAAGAUAUGGAAGCAUGUUUGAUGAAAGAUCAUGGAAUAGCAAAGAAAAAUAGCACCAAAAAGGCAAACAAGGCAGGGAAAGAUUCUAGACUAGUGAUUUGGGAUCAACACAGGACAGGAUGAUUAGAGAGAAUAGCUUCCUGUGCACACUAUGUAGUUUGAUGCAGAAGCCAUCCUGAUCCAGAUGCCCUGGUACUGUGGGGCGGGACCUUGGAAAAAUUACCCAGAGGAUGUGAAGUGAAAGUUUUGUUACACCAUUCUUCAGAGUGAAGGCAGUUUUCCUACAGAAACCUUCAAAAAAGGAGAUGCAUCCUUCCUUGUUCCUGGCAGUCUUGCAUUUGAGGAAAUCAGUAUGCUCCAACUUAGGUGAGUUAGGCCACUGGCCAAUUUUUUUUUUUUUCUGUAGCCCUCCUCUACUCUGAGUUCCUAAUUCCACUUGUUCUGAAUUUUUUUUGGUGACGCAUUGUCUCCAUUAUUGAACUUAGUCCUUUCAAAAAUUAGCAAAGCUGGGAAUUUUCAUCCUAUUCUUUUCCUACUUUCAGAACUUUGAACUUUGAAUUUUCAGGAAGCCAUGAAGAAUGGAGUAAGAUUCUAGGACCAGUUAACAAGAACAUGUAAAAUAAUUUGUUUGUAAAAUAAUCUUAUGAGGCUAAAGCACAAGCCAGAGCAGAUUUUUUUCAAAAUGCAUAAGCAACACUUGUUCAAUUCCACCUGCUGCAGUUAAAGAAAAGUAAGCAAAAGGGAACACUGACAAAGUAAUUAUUUCUAGCUAUCAAAUGUCCAUUCAUUGAUUUCUAGCCAAAGCAGAGAGAAUCAGGAAGUUUCUAUAAAGGGCAAUGAGUUUCCACAAUACAGAAUGUCUGUGUUGGCUCAACUCCUACCAGUUACCAAACUCCCUAAUCAUCCUCAAUACUUUCACAAUAAGUGCAAAUGCUUUCAAAGUUUAAAUAGAUGCAUCAAAAAAUAUGUGCCAGAUAGCAAUAUUUGAACACUUUUCACUAAGUGCUAAAAGAUUUUAGUUUUGUAUACUAACUGUUAACAUGGAUUAAAACCAACAAAUAAAAACACAAUUGCAAUGCUACUUGUGCUACUGGCCAACUUAGCACCAAAUCACUAAUAACAAUAAAAUUUUUCAAAAUCUUAAUCAAAAUUUCCCCAAAUUAAAAGAAAGCCAAUCAAUCUACAAAUUGUAAAGACUGUAAAAUUAGAUCAAUUAAACUCAACUGGGGAGAGAUUUUAUUUUCCAAGGCACAUUUGGCAGUAUCUAAAGACAUUUUUGUUUGUCACAAAUGAAGGAGGGGGUGCUACCGGUGUCUAGUGGGUAGAGAACAGGGAUGCUGCGAAACAUCCUCUUAUACCUAGGCCAGCCCCCUACAACAAAAAAUUAUUGGCAUAAAGUGUCAAUGGUGCCAGAUUUUAGAAAUCCUGAGUUGGAGUUACCAUAAAGUCCAAUUUAUUUUCCUUUAUUUACAGAGCACCCUCUGGUUUAUAACGAUAACAUCAUAGCAUCAGUAUGUAGGAAGAAAUGUAUUUUCUAAUCCAUUAUGGUUUUCAGGGAUGAAGAGAAUUAUUAUUGCUGUAUCUGAAAAUAAUACCACACCAUUAAGAAUGUAAGUGAAAAGGAAGUGUCUAAGGCACUGGAAUCUUUGUACAACUUAAUCGUUUAGAUAAAUUUGAAAUUUAAAAAUGCUUUAAAAUAGGGAUAAACUCUCCAAGAUUCUGAGUUUACAAAAAAAUUUCCAGUGUUUUAAGCAAUUACUUUUCUUAUGUAAAUCCCAGAUAAGAUGUAGAGGUACUUAUCAACAAACUGACUCCAGAUUUCUAUCAAUGAGCCUAAUAAUAUUAUAAUGAUAGUUUAAAUACUAGGCUGAAGGACAUUAAUAAUGGAGAUUAAAGUAAAAGAUGUAUAUUUAAAUUAAUUCAGUUAAAUUUUGUUAAUUGAUACUCAUUUCCAUUAAUUCUGUUUUUGCAACCUUUCAGACUUAUCUUUUAGUCUCCAGAGGCAGAAAAAAAGCAGAAAAGGUUGUUGAAAUUCUUCACAUUGAUUUCAGGGCAAUGAUCUCAAACGGCGCAGUGGGAACCCGCAAAUUUAAGAGGGUAGUUUCCCUGCACAAGCCCUUUUUUUGCCUGCUGCCAUCCGUGUAAGAUGUGACUUGCUCCUCCUUGUCUUCUACCAUGAUUGUGAGGCCUCCCCAGUUAUGUGGAACUCAAAGCUAGAGGAAACCAAAGUCAUAGAACAUCUGAACUCUGUCCAAACAUCGGUCGUAUUUCAAAAUUUCAGAGCCUCAGACUUCCAUGAUAAUAUCUGCCUAGUCUUUAGAAGAGUGUAUGGAAGUGUUCAAGAACCUUUCCUGAAACAACUUCUAUUACAGACACUGCUUCUUCAUGGUUAUUCCAUCAGAUUGCAAUCACUUAUAUGUUUUUUUCCACUCUUCCUUAUAUUAUGAGCACUUUUCACGUAGGGGUUCAUCUCUUUAAUAAUCAUAGCUCCCAACACAAUUGUAGGCUUAUAUUAGAUGCUCGAUAAAGAUGAGUUGAGUUAACAUGUAAAGUAAUGAAUGAGUAAGGAAAAAUAGAAUAGUUUCGAAUUAAUGCAUGUUACUGCUACUGUAAAUUUAAUGUUUUCAUUUCUAUUACUAUUUAUAUAUAAAUUUAAUUAAUUGUUAACUUUCUUUGCCAUCCAUACAUCUAUUUAUCUGCUCAUUUGAAAAUCUCUUUCCUGUUUCCUAUUAUUCAAAAUAUUAAAAGCAAAUAUUACUUAAAUAUUUAAAUCACUCUUUUUCCAUGUUAAGUUUCUCAGGAUGCAGAAUGUUGCUGUACACUGAGAAAUAUUAGGCGAUACAAAAUGGCUACUAUAACGUAAUGUUCUAGAAAAUGAUAAAAGUCAAACCCAUUGGUUUUUGCUGCCAACACAAGUUUGUCAAUGUAAUUAAUGCCCUUUAGCCUGGGAGGGUUGUAUGACAGGAAAAAUGGCAUCAAAGCCAUUUUUAUUUAAAAAAUAAAUUUAAUAUUACUUGAUAAUAAGGGAGCUAUAUAAGCAAAAAUCUUAGAAUUUUCUUUUUCUUUUUUUUCCUUAGUUUCACAUCUUUCUACAUAGUAUCCAAAUCCCAGUUGUUGAUACUAAUUUUCUUGCCUUCUUACCCUUAACAAGUUUGGAGACAAAGUUAAUAUCAUUAGUAGUAUGUAAACUAAUUCCUAAAGCAAAAGUCUCUAAAAGUGUGAUCCAUGUCCCAUUUUUUAUUGGUCUGCAAUGAGGUAAGCACAGAAAUUUUAAUCACCUCCACGCAUACCUUCAAUGAGCAACAUGUACAGUUUUUUGAGACUCUUCUCUCUUUUCCUGUUAUUUUCUGAUUGCAUUUAUAAAAAUGCAAUUUUGUGUUUGUUGAAUCUGAUGAUAAAAAAUGAGGAAACACCGCAUAUUCUCACUCAUAGGUGGGAAUUGAACAAUGAGAUCAC